UUAACUCAUAUUUGUAUGGAGUUGGAACGUUUACCCACGUUUGCCGCUAGGGGCGCUGUUCCAACUCCAUACAAAUUUGAGUUA
rnacentral:pre_miRNA from 1 species